GGAAGGUCCAUGAUUAAGCCCCGCGAGGCCCAGCAUUUCCUGCCAGCUCCUGCAAGGUGGAACGGCGCGAGGAGAAAUGGUCCCGCUCCGUCCCUGAGCUGGCAGGGAACAGCCUGUUCUCCAGGGGCGGAGACUGCUCAGCUCACUGGCUCUGAAAUGUCAUGUGGAGAAGGGUUCAAGGCUGCAGGACCCUGAACACAGCUGUGUGGAGCUCCAUUGUCCUGGACAUCAGCUACUCAGUCGCCUGAAGGUAAAGCACAUCCUAAGGUUUCCUUGACAACAGGUGGGGGCCGACAUUGAUUUGGCCCUGACUUUAGGCCAGGCCCUGCGUGAAGACAACUGACUCGAACCCUCACAAGAGCCCUAGGAAGUAGAUAUCACCAACAUCACCAUUCUGCAUAUGGGAAAACUGAGAGUCUCCUGGCUCAGGUGAUUAGCGGCCAAACGGAGGCCCACAAACAAGCGCGCUUCACUGGAGGACAGAGUCUGAGGGGGGAGGGAGGGAAAAGAGGGAGCGAGGAUGGCUGCCUGGGACAUGGGAGGGACAGUCACACGUGCUGAGUGCCCAGGAACUCUGCUGGAGCCGUUGGUCCUGUGACCAGGACCCCUGAGCUGCCCCCAGCCAUAGUAAGCGCUCACCAUUGUUGGUGAAUGAAUUAUCUUUUGGUUAAAUUCACAGAAAUCACAGGAAUUAUUUUGGCCAUUUCAUAAAAUAAGAAACAAGCUCAGAAAGGUUAAGUGCCUGUUGCAAGGUGACGUAGCAGUGCUAGGUAGAGUCGGGAUCCAAGCCCAGGUCCCCUUGGCUCCCCAGUGUAGCUCCUUCUACCAUCCUAAGGAGCGUCUCCCAGCUGGCGAAGGGCUCUGGGAAUGAGGAUCACCCUGAAAUCACCUGAAGACUCUUCCCUGGAAGCCCCUAAAAGCGGUGCUUUGGGGAGUUGGGAGUGUGGGGCAUGAGCUAGGGGGACAGAGGACUAGGGGGACUCUGUCCCUCAGUGUCCUGGCUCCCCGGCCCCAUCUGGAAGCCUCACUGUGUUGUUUGACCCUGUUCUUAGGGCAGGGGUGCCUCCCGCCUCCCUCUCCUCUCUUCCACUCCAAAGCCCUUAUUUUCUAGUGCUCUGGGCGGCUUGGCACGGCUCGGGAGCCUGCACACCGCUGAGCAAUUCUUUUUUUUUUUUUUAAUAUUUUAUUUAUUCGU
rnacentral:lncRNA from 1 species